GCCCUUGUGGCUCAGUGGUAGAGCACUCCCUUGGUAAGGGAGA
rnacentral:tRNA from 1 species